AGGGUGUAAGGGAGUGGGGAAAGAGUUGGGGAGAGGAGCGGGAAAGUUUAGUGCUCCUUUUUUGAAGGAUUUCAGAAUUGUUGACGAGAAGUUGAUAGAGGAGAUGUGUGAGGAAUGGAUCG
rnacentral:ribozyme from 1 species